UACGAAGGGGGCUAGCGUUGCUCGGAAUCACUGGGCGUAAAGGGCUCGUAGGCGGCCAACUAAGUCAGACGUGAAAUCCCUCGGCUUAACCGGGGAACUGCGUCUGAUACUGGUUGGCUUGAGUGUGGGAGAGGGAUGCGGAAUUCCAGGUGUAGCGGUGAAAUGCGUAGAUAUGUGGAGGAACACCGAUGGCGAAGGCAGCCCCCUGGGUCAAAACUGACGCUCAUGCACGAAAGCGUGGGGAGCAAACAGG
rnacentral:rRNA from 1 species